AUGACUGAUCGUGAGUUACUCCUCGGUCUUCAUCAAAAAGUUGAUCGCAAUCAUAAAUGGGUCAAGCGUCAGUUUGGUUCAAUUCUUUACAACAUGACCUCAACACACAAUGCAGUGAAGAAAAACCAAUACUACCUCCAUGAAACCUUCAACCGUACCUGGGCUGUUCUAUCUCAUAUCUACAGCGCAGUAGAUCCGAAGAGCAUGGGUCUCAAGGAAGAAUUUGACUGGUCUGCACCUCCAUCGAAGAAAUUCAAGAAGGUCAAGGUUCCUUCCUGGUGGCCAACUCCUAUUCUUCAUCACGCGACACUGAUGAAAAUGAAGACUUGGACGACACUGCGGCAGGCCCUACUACGACAACCGACCCCAACAACCCUGACGCUCCUCCAUCAACUUGAUAUUCUUCAGGGGCGUUAG
rnacentral:rRNA from 1 species